rnacentral:tRNA from 1 species
GCCGGUGUAGCUCAGCGGUAGAGCACCCGAUUCGUAAUCGGGCGGCCGACGGUUCGAUCCCGUCCACCGGCU